rnacentral:rRNA from 1 species
CCUACGGGGGGCUGCAGUGGGGAAUAUUGGACAAUGGGCGAAAGCCUGAUCCAGCCAUGCCGCGUGUGUGAAGAAGGCCUUCGGGUUGUAAAGCACUUUCAGUGGGGAAGAAAGCCUUGGGGCUAAUACCCUCGAGGAAGGACAUCACCCACAGAAGAAGCACCGGCUAACUCCGUGCCAGCAGCCGCGGUAAUACGGAGGGUGCGAGCGUUAAUCGGAAUUACUGGGCGUAAAGCGCGCGUAGGCGGUCUGAUAAGCCGGUUGUGAAAGCCCCGGGCUCAACCUGGGAACGGCAUCCGGAACUGUCAGGCUAGAGUGCAGGAGAGGAAGGUAGAAUUCCCGGUGUAGCGGUGAAAUGCGUAGAGAUCGGGAGGAAUACCAGUGGCGAAGGCGGCCUUCUGGACUGACACUGACGCUGAGGUGCGAAAGCGUGGGUAGCAAACAGGAUUAGAUACCCCAGUAUC